GGAAGAGAAAGAAAAUUCGAUUCCCUUAGUAGCGGCGAGCGAAACGGGAAGAGCCCAAACCAACAAGCUUGCUUGUUGGGGUUGUAGGACACUCUAUACGGAGUUACAAAGGACGACAUUAGACGAAUCAUCUGGAAAGAUGAAUCAAAGAAGGUAAUAAUCCUGUAGUCGAAAAUGUUGUCUCUCUUGAGUGGAUCCUGAGUACGACGGAGCACGUGAAAUUCCGUCGGAAUCUGGGAGGACCAUCUCCUAAGGCUAAAUACUCUCUAGUGACCGAUAGUGAACCAGUACCGUGAGGGAAAGGUGAAAAGCACCCCGGAAGGGGAGUGAAAUAGAACCUGAAACCGUGUGCUUACAAGUAGUCAGAGCCCGUUAAUGGGUGAUGGCGUGCCUUUUGUAGAAUGAACCGGCGAGUUACGAUUUGAUGCAAGGUUAAGCAGUAAAUGUGGAGCCGUAGCGAAAGCGAGUCUGAAUAGGGCGUUUAGUAUUUGGUCGUAGACCCGAAACCAGGUGAUCUACCCUUGGUCAGGUUGAAGUUCAGGUAACACUGAAUGGAGGACCGAACCGACUUACGUUGAAAAGUGAGCGGAUGAACUGAGGGUAGCGGAGAAAUUCCAAUCGAACCUGGAGAUAGCUGGUUCUCUCCGAAAUAGCUUUAGGGCUAGCCUCAAGUGAUGAUUAUUGGAGGUAGAGCACUGUUUGGACGAGGGGCCCCUCUCGGGUUACCGAAUUCAGACAAACUCCGAAUGCCAAUUAAUUUAACUUGGGAGUCAGAACAUGGGUGAUAAGGUCCGUGUUCGAAAGGGAAACAGCCCAGACCACCAGCUAAGGUCCCAAAAUAUAUGUUAAGUGGAAAAGGAUGUGGCGUUGCCCAGACAACUAGGAUGUUGGCUUAGAAGCAGCCAUCAUUUAAAGAGUGCGUAAUAGCUCACUAGUCGAGUGACACUGCGCCGAAAAUGUACCGGGGCUAAACAUAUUACCGAAGCUGUGGAUUGUCCUUUGGACAAUGGUAGGAGAGCGUUCUAAGGGCGUUGAAGCAUGAUCGUAAGGACAUGUGGAGCGCUUAGAAGUGAGAAUGCCGGUGUGAGUAGCGAAAGACGGGUGAGAAUCCCGUCCACCGAUUGACUAAGGUUUCCAGAGGAAGGCUCGUCCGCUCUGGGUUAGUCGGGUCCUAAGCUGAGGCCGACAGGCGUAGGCGAUGGAUAACAGGUUGAUAUUCCUGUACCACCUAUAAUCGUUUUAAUCGAUGGGGGGACGCAGUAGGAUAGGCGAAGCGUGCGAUUGGAUUGCACGUCUAAGCAGUAAGGCUGAGUAUUAGGCAAAUCCGGUACUCGUUAAGGCUGAGCUGUGAUGGGGAGAAGACAUUGAGUCUUCGAGUCGUUGAUUUCACACUGCCGAGAAAAGCCUCUAGAUAGAAAAUAGGUGCCCGUACCGCAAACCGACACAGGUAGUCAAGAUGAGAAUUCUAAGGUGAGCGAGCGAACUCUCGUUAAGGAACUCGGCAAAAUGACCCCGUAACUUCGGGAGAAGGGGUGCUCUUUAGGGUUAACGCCCAGAAGAGCCGCAGUGAAUAGGCCCAAGCGACUGUUUAUCAAAAACACAGGUCUCUGCUAAACCGUAAGGUGAUGUAUAGGGGCUGACGCCUGCCCGGUGCUGGAAGGUUAAGAGGAGUGGUUAGCUUCUGCGAAGCUACGAAUCGAAGCCCCAGUAAACGGCGGCCGUAACUAUAACGGUCCUAAGGUAGCGAAAUUCCUUGUCGGGUAAGUUCCGACCCGCACGAAAGGCGUAACGAUUUGGGCACUGUCUCAACGAGAGACUCGGUGAAAUCAUAGUACCUGUGAAGAUGCAGGUUACCCGCGACAGGACGGAAAGACCCCGUGGAGCUUUACUGUAGCCUGAUAUUGAAAUUCGGCACAGCUUGUACAGGAUAGGUAGGAGCCUUUGAAACGUGAGCGCUAGCUUACGUGGAGGCGCUGGUGGGAUACUACCCUAGCUGUGUUGGCUUUCUAACCCGCACCACUUAUCGUGGUGGGAGACAGUGUCAGGCGGGCAGUUUGACUGGGGCGGUCGCCUCCUAAAAGGUAACGGAGGCGCUCAAAGGUUCCCUCAGAAUGGUUGGAAAUCAUUCAUAGAGUGUAAAGGCAUAAGGGAGCUUGACUGCGAGACCUACAAGUCGAGCAGGGUCGAAAGACGGACUUAGUGAUCCGGUGGUUCCGCAUGGAAGGGCCAUCGCUCAACGGAUAAAAGCUACCCCGGGGAUAACAGGCUUAUCUCCCCCAAGAGUUCACAUCGACGGGGAGGUUUGGCACCUCGAUGUCGGCUCAUCGCAUCCUGGGGCUGUAGUCGGUCCCAAGGGUUGGGCUGUUCGCCCAUUAAAGCGGUACGCGAGCUGGGUUCAGAACGUCGUGAGACAGUUCGGUCCCUAUCCGUCGUGGGCGUAGGAAAUUUGAGAGGAGCUGUCCUUAGUACGAGAGGACCGGGAUGGACAUACCUCUGGUGUACCAGUUGUCGUGCCAACGGCAUAGCUGGGUAGCUAUGUGUGGACGGGAUAAGUGCUGAAAGCAUCUAAGCAUGAAGCCCCCCUCAAGAUGAGAUUUCCCAACUUCGGUUAUAAGAUCCCUCAAAGAUGAUGAGGUUAAUAGGUUCGAGGUGGAAGCAUGGUGACAUGUGGAGCUGACGAAUACUAAUCGAUCGAAGACUUAAUCAA
rnacentral:rRNA from 4 species